rnacentral:rRNA from 1 species
AUUGAACGCUGGCGGCAGGCCUAACACAUGCAAGUCGAGCGGAUGAAGGGAGCUUGCUCCUGGAUUCAGCGGCGGACGGGUGAGUAAUGCCUAGGAAUCUGCCUGGUAGUGGGGGAUAACGUCCGGAAACGGGCGCUAAUACCGCAUACGUCCUGAGGGAGAAAGUGGGGGAUCUUCGGACCGCACGCUAUCAGAUGAGCCUAGGUCGGUGUAGCUAGUUGGUGGGGUAAAGGCCUACCAAGGCGACGAUCCGUAACUGGUCUGAGAGGAUGAUCGGUCACACUGGAACUGAGACAGGGUCCAGACUCCUACGGUAGGCAGCAGUGGGGAAUAUUGGACAAUGGGCGAAAGCCUGAUCCAGCCAUGCCGCGUGUGUGAAGAAGGUCUUCGGAUUGUAAAGCACUUUAAGUUGGGAGGAAGGGCAGUAAGUUAAUACCUUGCUGUUUUGACGUUACCAACAGAAUAAGCACCGGCUAACUUCGUG